GCCUCGGUAGUGUAGUCCGGACGAGCAUCGGGGACUGUCACUCCUUGGACCCGGGUUCAAAUCCCGGCCGAGGCG
rnacentral:tRNA from 1 species